GAUAAAGUCUCUUAAAAAAGGACGACAAUAGUGUGACAAAAUAAAACAUUUAAACACUAAAUUCAAGCCCUGCCCAUGUUUACCAGUAUUUCAUUUGUACGUAGAUCUCGUGCAUGAAUAAUGAAUGAGUGAUAUCACUUUAAUGGAAUAUUGUCUUUGAAGCCUCAAAAGUUAAAAUGCCUUUGUAAAUUAUACCUUCUCUAGGAGUAUACAGUGUUUAUAGAUAUAUUUUUCUGCAUUUCAAAAUAGGCUUUUAUCGUCAUAGGAAGUCUCCAUAGUAUAUUUAAAUAUAUGUGUUGGUUUUAAAUUGGCGGACUUAAAUAUGAUUUAUAUACUUUUACAGCUAUUUUCGUUUGUGGUUGCUGAAGAAGUUACACCUGGAGUGAUAGUUAAGUUCCAAGUCAACAUGCCAUAUUCCCUAGUUGAAUCUGCUGGAAAGGAAACUAUUAUUCCGUUAAUUCAAGGACAAAUCCCGUCGGUAUUUCCCAGUGUUAAAGCUGAGCACAUUCAAAGUCUCGACAUUACAGAAGCUAG